AUCGAUAUUCACCUCAUACUGGUCAAGCUUAAAAUGACAUCAGAUAAAAUCCGGGCAGAGUGGUCCAGAGUACUGGGAAUGGGAAUAAAAUACGAACACGGCCAUGAUUGUAACUGACCUCAAAGAGGAAGGACAAACCCACUGUUUCAACGGAAAACUUGUGAUGCUUCUGAAUUUAUUGAUGAAGUUCUGCACAAGAAUGUAAAAAGGAAACAACGCAGAGAAAAAAAAAUUGGAAGAAUAACAUUAGUACGGAAGUAAGACACAAAACAACUACUCCAUUCAACAGUUCAACAUGUGAACCUUUACUGUGACCAUUUCUACACCACUUGUUCCAAAGAUGACUUUUAUACUUUACAUAUCUAAAUACCUAAAAAUAUAAAUAAAUAUAAAUGUAAAUAUAAAAU
rnacentral:lncRNA from 1 species